AGCAGCCGCGGUAAUUCCAGCUCCAAUAGCGUAUAUUAAAGUUGUUGCAGUUAAAAAGCUCGUAGUUGAAUUUCGGGAUCAAUAUGUUGGUCGUGCCUCGGUACGUACUAGCUUAUUGGUUUCUCCUUUCUGAAGAACCAUGAUGUCAUUUAUUUGGUGUCGUGGGGAAUCAGGACUGUUACUUUGAAAAAAUUAGAGUGUUUAAAGCAGGCUCACGCUUGAAUACAUUAGCAUGGAAUAAUGAAAUAGGACGUUUGAUUCUAUUUUGUUGGUUUCUAGGAUCGACGUAAUGAUUAAUAGGGAUAGUUGGGGGCAUUAGUAUUCAAUUGUCAGAGGUGAAAUUCUUGGCAUUUAUUGAAGACUAACUACUGCGAAAGCAUUUGCCAAGGAUGUUUUCAUUAAUCAAGAACGAAAGUUAGGGGAUCGAAGACGAUCAGAUCCCGUCGUAGUCUUAACCAUAAACUAUGCCGCACUAGGGAUCGGAUGAAUGUUAAUUUUUUAAUGACUCA
rnacentral:rRNA from 1 species